rnacentral:rRNA from 1 species
CCUACGGGAGGCAGCAGUGGGGAAUAUUGGUCAAUGGGCGCAAGCCUGACCCAGCAACGCCGCGUGAAGGAAGAAGGCUUUCGGGUUGUAAACUUCUUUUUACAGGGAAGAGCAGAAGACGGUACCUGUCGAAUAAGCCACGGCUAACUACGUGCCAGCAGCCGCCGUAAUACGUAGGUGGCAAGCGUUGUCCGGAUUUACUGGGUGUAAAGGGCGUGUAGCCGGGCUGGCAAGUCAGAUGUGAAAUCCGGGGGCCCAACCCCCGAACUGCCUUUGAAACUGGUGGUCUUGAGUUUCGGAGAGGUAGGCGGAAUGCCUGGGGUAGCGGUGAAAUGGGUAGAUA